rnacentral:lncRNA from 1 species
UCAGAGACCUUGGGCCAGGUAUGGUGCUAAGAGCCCACGUGCUGUCCAGCUGCAAGAAUCCUCUUUUUUCCAGUCCGGGUCUUGUUGCCCAGAGUAGCUCCCUGAGAUGGGUUUUAUUUAAAAUGCAGGGGCGCCUGGGUGGCUCAUUUGGUUAAGUGUCCCAAUUCUUGAGUUUGGCUCAGGUCAUGAUCUCAGGGUCAGGAGAUGGAGCCCCAGGUCAGGCUUCACACUCAGGGUGGGGCGGGGUGCCCCCCCCCCCCGCCCCGCUCUCACCCCUGCCAUGUGUUUUUCGUACCCUCAUGGACACAGCCUGGCCUUGGGGCCUCCUUGUUAGGCACUUGGGAGGGUGCUCUGGGCAGCAGACACGUCACCCCUCUGGAGGGCCCUGUGGGGAAAGCCUGCCCUUGGGCCACCUCCCAGUCAGACAUCGUCUCUAAAACCUUAGGACAAAACAUGGGCAGUUCCAUGGCAGUGCCCUAUAGAUUCCUGGGGCGCUCUUUAUCCCCAGCCGGCGUUUGUGGGGAGACGUCCAUGAGCAGAUGGCCGUGUGAUGGGAGCUGCAGGGCGGGGGCGUGCCUCUUCUCGGGGCAGGCAUGUGGGGGCAUCGGCUGGAAGUCACGGCCUGCUGCAAAGGCCAGCUGUCUCCUGGGGUUGCGGAGCCGUCUCUGUCUGGGCCCGCCUGGGCUCGGGGCCAGCGAUGUCCUGCCUGCCAAGUGCUGGGAGGGAGCAGGAAUGCUCGAGAGCAGCCAGCGUCCUGUCGCCAGAGCCCACGUUCCCUUCGCUGGCACCAGCCAACGUUCCACCUGCCCCUGUCACUAG